UACAGGGGGUGCAAACGUUGCUCGGAAUUAUUGGGCGUAAAGCGCGCGUAGGCGGCCGCUUAAGUCGGAUGUGAAAGCCCCUGGCUCAACUGGGGAAGUGCACCCGAAACUGAGUGGCUUGAGUACUAAAGAGGGUCGCGGAAUUCCCGGUGUAGAGGUGAAAUUCGUAGAUAUCGGGAGGAACACCGGUGGCGAAGGCGGCGACCUGGGUAGAUACUGACGCUGAGGAGCGAAAGCGUGGGGAGCAAACAGG
rnacentral:rRNA from 1 species